UACAGAGGGUGCGAGCAUUAAUCGGAAUUACUGGGCGUAAAGCGCGCGUAGGCGGCUUUGCAAGUCGGGUGUGAAAUCCCCAGGCUUAACCUGGGAACUGCAUUCGAGACUGCAUUGCUAGAGUAUGGGAGAGGGAAGUGGAAUUUCCGGUGUAGCGGUGAAAUGCGUAGAUAUCGGAAGGAACAUCAGUGGCGAAAGCGACUUCCUGGACCAAUACUGACGCUCAUGUGCGAAAGCGUGGGGAGCAAACAGG
rnacentral:rRNA from 1 species